GUGCUGUGGGCGAGCGGCUAUGGCGGCUGCCGCGGCCGUAGGCCUAGGCUAGGCUGGCAGCGGGGGCUGUUCUGUUGUGCCGCUGGGUCCGGUGCUGGGCCCUCCGCGGAACUCCCGUUGGGCACACAGAGUUCUGCUAAUAAAUCCAAGCAGUGAGGAGUGCACCUUCUCUUUGCAGAGACUGCUUCUGUUGCUGUGGAGGUUGGUCAGUGUGUAGUACUGCUUUAAGCUGAGCACUUGAGGCCUCUGGAAUCAGCACCUGCUGUGUUAGCUAGUGUAGAAUGUAAGCAAAUGCUUGUAAUUAAAAGUACAUUAGGCUGAAGGUUAUUCAGAGCUGAUGUGAAGAUGUAGUGGAACCUUAAGAGCCAAGAUUGAGAACAAUCUCUAGAAGGCUACAGUGCUUUGAGUUGAUAUGCAGUUGUUCACAGAUGUACCACUGCCAGAAGCGAUGAUGUGAAUAAGGCAUGAUUGUGAACGUCACAUCACAGCUUUCAGAAGCAUAAGUUUCUACCUAUCAUCUCUAACUAUUUCAUAAGCUGUUAAUGUAUACCUGGUCUAAAAAUACUGUUUUGAAGACUUGGGACUGACCCGCUGAUGACUACUUGAAUUUAAACCUAGAGGGUUGUUUCUCAUAAGCUUGGAAGAAGUGAACCUUUCAGAAAUUGAGAUUGAUCAGUGCCUCCAGAUGACUAACCAGUGCCAUGUGGUUUUGGCAGUUACCAAUAUGCAAAGCGGAAGAGGAAAGUGGAAAACUGAGAUUCUCAAGUAUUUUGAAGUCUCAUUUGGAUUCGAUGUCCUGAAACAGAAACCUCAAAAGUGAUGUGGGCCAAUUCAGAGGCAGUCAUUCUGUACUGCGUAGUCCUGGGCCACUGGAGGAAAAGAAGAAAAUGGCUUUGGGCACAGUCCCCCUACUUGUAGCAGAAGUUCAAGAGGUGGUCAUCUCUGCAGAAACAACUUUGGAUUUGACUGAAGCCCCUGCAGAAGUAUGACCUUGCUGUUCUCCCUUGCUAAAAGAUACAGCCUUCCUGUCUCCUAGGCCAAGCCAAGAUACCAGCAGAGACUUGAAUCCCACAAGAUCCUAGGGCAGGCUGGAUUGCAUUUAGCUCACUAAAAGCUGUGUUACACUGUUAGAACACAAGCUUCAGGUCUGUGUGCAUAGUGUUAUUUCAUUUUUGAGAUAUAUCCUUUGUAACACCUUUCAGGCUUGAGGAAGAGGCUUUUAACUGUUUCCUGCUGGCUGGAGAAGGAAAGGACAAUUCCCAGCCCUUUCCUUGGCUGUGGUCUCAAUCAAAUCCUGGCUGUUGCAACCAGGGCUCUGCAGAUGUGGGAACCCCUAAAGGAGAGAAUGUGGCUCUACUUCUAAUGCAGAUUGUAGGACAUCAGAUAACUAUCUGGGCAUGCAGGCACACAAUGCUUGGAUCAAAGGAAAAGCUGCAAACCAAAUUGGAUUGCUUUACUGAUACCUUUUCUAGUUCUUAAAAAUGCAAAUUUUUAGUAGAACCAGAAGUAUUUCUGAUAUGUCAGAACAGGCAUUUGAAUAAACUCACAAAUUAUA